CAGAGACAGAUGUUCCUCCCAAAGUCACAGUGUAUCUGGCAGGAGUUGCAAUCUUAAAGAAACCAGAGAACACACCACAUAGAUAAAACAGGAAAAUAACAUCCAGCAAAAGGCACAGGAAAAAUUGGAAGGAGUCAUACUUUCACAUUUUGUUUGGGAAGGUAAUCCCUUUGACAACAGGCAAGAAGGUCACCACUUUCAGAAACAAAACAAAUAAGUGGCAUGUACAGCAAACACUGUGCCUUGUUUUUGAACGGUCUGACAUGUUUCAGGUUUCCCAAACACAGACUUUGCACAUAUAAAACAAUAAAAGGAAACCCAAACCUGAAUGUAAGUAAUUGAUUCAAAUGACAAUGAAAAUACUUGAGAGGGAUGGACAUCACUCUCAAGGGGAAGACAAAAAAUCAUCUAGGAUAAAAAUAACUGUCUUUUUAUCUGAAAUUCAGUGAGGUGUUUAGACUUCACCUCUUUGUCCCUGCUAAUUAUGUCAGGGACACAGAAGAAUAACUUAAUUGCCAUCUCAGAGGGCUGCAAUACUUCUGCAGCAAAGAAGUUAUUUUAGAAAUACAGACAGACUCCUUGAAGGAACACAGAACACAUAUCAACUUGCAUGGGACUAUUUUUACCACAACAUGAAUGCUGAAGUACAUGCAGCUAUCGAAGAAAGCUAAUUAAUUCUUUCUGCUGUAAACAAGUAAACCCUGUUUAGUUCACCAGGCAAGACUUAGAGCUUAUUUACAAACUAUAAUUAUACUUACUUUAUACAAUGCAUAUGCAGUUAGUGCAUUUCCACUCUGGGAAUUUUUCAGGAUGUCUACUACGCUGUCUGGUAAGCCAAUCAACUCUAGGAAUGGAACAACAUUCACCCCACUAUAAAAGAGAAAAACAUUGGUGACUUGAAUGGGAAUUUGAAACCUGAACAGUAAUUUAGAGUACUCUUACUUUAUUGCAUAAACUUCAUAAUUUGAAAACAAAAUGGUUUUUUAUCUAAGCCAUAAACUUACAGGAUUUAUGUUUCUGACCAUAGGAAAAUUAAUGUUCUCAGCAUUUCAAAAGGUGACCCAUUUAUAUUAUCUCUGUUGGGUGGAAUGGUUUCUAACUUACCUGUGCCCCAGUUUAUGUUUGAGGUAAGAAGAUGUAAUGGUGGUAAGACAGUUACUCAGAUUGCAGCUGUGCAUGUUCAAUUUCAUACUCUGUUUUGCCUAAAAUUACCUUUUUUUCUAUUAAAAUUUCAGACAGUGUUCUCCAUUCACUUCUAAAUAUAUCAAACAUGGAAUGUGGCAAAAGACAAGGAAGCAACAUGUUACAUGGACAAGAUUUCAGGGGCUUUGUGCUCAAUUGUUCUACUGUGCCAAUAUAACGUGUCAAAAUGGUGGAGGGAGCUCCUAUCACAAUUUCUUUCUAUUUGACAUCCAGGAAAACACCAAAAAAGAAAGGAAAGCUCAUCUUUAUAUUAUAGAAGAUGAAUAUUAUAGAAGAUUACACACAGUUAGAGAAGACCUGAGUUUUCAAUAUUUAGAGAUUUUAGCUUAUUAGUACCAUUAUCCAUUUCUAUCUACUAUUUUAAGCAUUCUUCUGAGCAGGCAAUCACUUUAGCAUCAGGAACAGUAACAGGCAGUAAUUUACCAACAGUUACUAGAACCUACAGUCUGUAGGCCUGUUCCCAGACUAGGGAAUGGAGACCUAGUAGGAGCUGAAGGACAGCACCUAACUGUGCCAUUUCAUAAACCACUGCUGUUUAGUCUUGUAGGACCAGUCAUUCUGAGAGUUGUUUUUCUACUUCAAGAGGGCACUGCUCCGGUGGCAUAACAAACUGAAGCUUUGUUAUAAUUAGUUUAAUUAGUUUCUAGUUGAAUAUUUCAGUUGUUUUCAUCUGCCAAAUACCUACUUCAGCAGCAGGCUUUAGAGUUUCAAGAAAAGUAAUCUUCACUCAAUCUGAAAUGUCUGGACAUAAGCAUCAACCUGAAUUUAUUCAAAGCAAAAUAUUUUUAUAGUUCAAGACCUUUAUUCCUCUGACAUGAGCUAAAUUUAGAAUGACAUUUGGAUCUAUAGCUCCCAGAAAGGGCAAUUAUGCCAGCUGGUUAGAGUAACUAAAACAAACACUUGUGCAGUAAGGCAUUCUGAUGUCAGAGUUCCAUCCUUGCCACCACAAACCUUGUUGUUUCAUGCUUUCUAUUAUUAAAUAUACAACACCAGCAGUCCAGAGAUAAACAUUUGCUUAUAUUUAGCAAACUAUUUCCAGAUAAUAAAACCUCUUUCAUCUGAACUAGCAAACUAGCAGCUCUUAAUUGAUGUAGUAGUUUUUUCUGAUAAAUGCCAUUUUCCAGAGUGGUAUCUAGAACAUGCUGUAACUAAAAGAAACUAAAAUUAGACUACUUAGUUUACAUAUAAUUUUUUUUAAACCACACAAAUAUUUAAUUUCCAAUUAAAAAGUAUGGUCUACAGCAGCAAUUUUUUCAGCAGAUUGCAGGAAAUAGAGGAAACAGAAACAAAAAAGGAGGGGAUACACAUUGUGAACAGCUAAGUGAGAUAAAUCCAUGAAGUGAAAAUCCAGCUAUGAAGAGGGACUGGGGAUGAAGCGGAGAUGAAGGGGUAACCUGAAGUCCAAGGGCAAAAAAAAGGUAUAAAGAUUUCAACUAGCCAUUUAUAAUCAUGAUUCCAAGUCCCUAUUUUUAUCUUUUGAGAGAUUACUAAAAAUUUCAACGCUGUUUACAUCCAUUCAUCAUUUUGGAGAGAUGAGCAUUCCUUUAAAUGUCAGCAACAUACCUGGUAUACAGCAAUAACUGCAUGGUAAUAGUAUGUACAUUACACUCUCAUGAAUCCUAUAUACUUUCAAUAUUAACUUUAGGCUUUAGUCAAAAAUGUAGCCACAUUUCUCUUUUAAAUAUAAAGGCACUUUUUAACAUGCAAUAAUAAUCUACAUGUCCUUUCACUAGUAGAUCUCAAUUCAACCACAGUAUCGGGCACUGCAACAAAAUACCAACUUACUUCAUGGCUGCAUAGUAAAAGGAUCCAAACCAUACAGUGGAAGUCACAAGGUGCACUGGAAUCAUAACUUUCCCAUACUGCUUAAAAGUUUUCUUGAAUCUCUGAACAAGACUAAUUGAUUUAUCUUGUAAUGGAUCAGGUUCUAAAGAAUCUGACUCUGCAGGGCUCUGCUUGGGCGCAUCAGUGGCCGAAGGCAAAGGAUUUCUCUCUUCUGGUACUUUGUGAGAAGUGUCUGCUGGCUGUGAUGAAAAAGCAGUUUUCUUUGAGGCAAAGUGAGCUGCACCUGCAUGAAGACAUCGCUUAGGAGGGUCCAGUGCCAGAAUCACUUUGCAUCCCACACUAGGCAACACAGACUGUCCUUUUAAGCACUGAAAGACACUGGUACGAGGGAAGAACCAACAUGUCCCAAGAGCCAGCUGAGAUGCAGAAUGUAACAGACUCCGCUGCAUUUUGAUGAA